rnacentral:lncRNA from 1 species
AGCUGGGAGCUGCAGUCCGGACUGACGGCUCAGACAGAGCUGCUGCUUGGGAAUUGCCACAGAUGGCUCUGACUGGAGCUGCUGCAGGCUGGUUCUGUGGCCUUACGUUCUGCUCAACACAGGACAACUGAGGACGACUUCAUGGAGCUGCCUCCACAACAAGCUCAGCUGGGGAUGCUGCAAGUGUGUUUACUUGCCCAAGGUAAGGGAUCCCUACUUAUCCGGCAAUACGUUUCCUGUCCCAUUCAAUGGGCUGCCUGAAAGAGCGGGGAGAAGGACAGGGAUCAGUUGAAUUUAGCCUUUGAAAAGUCCAUUUCUGGAUGCUGUUCCAUGAACUUUUUCAAAAUGUCUUGCUUCUUCUGUUCAUCAGAUGUGGGGAGGCCCAUGGAUUUCUGUCGCUGAUCAUACAUCAUUUUCUCCACCAUACUGCGAGUCUCACUGUCCAGGUCUGACAACUUUGAGUUUUCUGGAUUGAUUUUCUUGGUGUUGAUCUCCGGGUCUGUAGAGACUAGUUUGUUCCACCAUUCCAUCUUGUUGACCUUCUCCAGGUGCACGGUGACUGUUUUACCAUCCUCAAUCAGCCAGGAACUCUCCUCCACCUUCACUUCAUUGAAAAGUUCUCCAUCAAUAACAGGAGGAUGACCUUUCAGGCCAACUCUGAGGCGCCGUCUCUGGAUAUCCACCACCACAUCCUUCCCCUUCAGCCGGAAGGUCACCUUGAAAGGGAUGGCCAGAUCCAGCUCUGAAAGAGUCUGUGUCCAUCUGUAAUUUGGGAGGUCAGCUCCAUUGCCAGCGUUGGGUUUAAGUUUUCCUUUAUCAUUCUCAUCUUUCUCUUCAUCAUCUGUUUCCUGUUUGUUAGAAUCUGAAGAGUCACCAUCAUCCUCUGAGGAUUUCACUGGGACAUUGUUAACCUCUUUUUGUGCCUCUUUCUUCUGAUCAAUUUCCAGCUGCAGUCUUUCUGCUUCCUCGUCCGUAAGUUCCUUAAUCCUUGGCUCAUUUGCUUCCUGCUUUGCUUCUUUGGCAAGCUUUGCAGCUCUCUCUGCCUUUUCCCGUCGUUCUGCCUCUUGACGAGCCUUCUUCUCCUUCCGCUCCUUCUGAGCCAGUUUGUUGUGAUGGUUGAAGGAGUCUGUGAUCAGCUUCUCUGCUACACCAUCUUCUCCACCAGUGAAGAAAUCUGUUUUACGCCUCAGGAAACUAAAGAAUGUGUUCACAAGCUCGCACACGCCGCCUUGGUGCUGCUGGGCCAUGGCCAGGAGGAUGCCAUCGAAGCGAUCCUCCUGCUCCGCCGCUUCCUCCGCGCUCAACCCCAUCCUACCCGCCACCGGUCUCCUCAGAGCCCUCACGCUACUGCUAACCGGAACCGGAAGCAAGCUGGGCGGAAGCGGAAAAGCGGUACCUCCCUCAACAUCCAAUCGCCGCGCUCGGCCGCGCUGCUGCCUUCGCGGAUUGGUCGAGACCGUACCCGGGGUGGAGAGGCGGGAAGAGUGGCGCGGGGCUCGGUUGCUAUAGCGACGGCCGGGCCUGGGCCUUUCCAGAAAGCUCCACGGGGUCGCUUAUUUCCGGGCAUUUCCUGUCCUUGCACGGGAUUUGGCUUCCCGAAUGCCCUCCAGAGUCACCACGCGGUUCAAAGAGCCACUCGUCCAAGGCCAAGCAGAGCAAAGGGCCUGCGGCCUGCAGUGGAGAUAGGCUAUGCCAGUCCCUGCUGGCUGCUGUGGGCCUCUCCUUAUCCCUCGUUGCUGGUUUCACUCCUUCUUUGCACUAAGAGCGUUGUCCCCUUAGGGUGAGUUGUCCUUAUCCCUAUAGGGUGCCUACUGCCCAGGGUCCCCCUGAAAUCAAUCAGCAGAUGCUGCCACUUCCCCAGACCAACCUUUGCUGGCCAACAGACACAAAUCCCUGGGUAUUUUGUGGUGAAAAUCUAUAAACGUGGGUCUCGGUUCCCUCUUGUUUGUGCACCGAGAGCUGUGUGCCCUUAAGGCAUUUGUUUCCA